UUGACUAUCUUUAUCUUGUAGAAAUUUCACUGUGACUAUGACAUCAGUUAUAAUACACAAGCAAUAGUUUGUGGCGGAGCAACUGUACAUCUUCUUGCAGAAGAGAAAUCAACUGUAAGAUUAAAACCAUAACCAAACCUAAAACCGUUAUGAUCGUCCUCUCUCUUAAAUGCCAAACACUUGACCACAGAAGACACGCCAUAUCAAAUAAUGUAGACAACAAUACAAGGCCUAAGAAAAGACAAUCCGGUGCAUUAAACUC
rnacentral:lncRNA from 1 species